rnacentral:tRNA from 1 species
GGCAGCUUGGCCGAGUGGUCUAAGGCGCUAGACUGUAUGUGUUCACCUCAAAAUGCCCUUAAGUUCCUUAACUAACAUGUAACAGUGAAAUCUAGUCUCUUCGGAGGCGGGUGUUCGAACCACCCAGCUGUCG